UACGUAGGGGGCGAGCGUUGUCCGGAUUUAUUGGGCGUAAAGCGUCCGCAGGCGGUGUGGCAAGUUCGAGGUGACAGUGCGCGGCUUCACUGCGCAAGGUCCUCGAAAACUGGCACACUUGAGGGCUUCAGAGGGACCUGGAAUCCGGGUGGAGUGGUGAAAUGCGUAGAGAUCCGGAGGAACACCAAAGGCGCAGGCAGGGGUCCUGG
rnacentral:rRNA from 1 species